AGUUAAAUAAAGGCAGGCCUGUUGGAGGGAAUCCCUGCGGGAAAAGAGACAAGCAUAGGUCCCUCACAAGAUGCCACCUGCUUCAUACAAGUGUCUGGCAGCACUGUGUUACUGUUAAAGCCACCAGCACGAGCACCUGACGAUGCUGAUCCAGUGAGUACUCCAUCAAAGGCAUACUGUAGGCCUGGCAUGUCUUGUCUACUAGCUUCAAUAUGAAUCCGAUUAAAUGUGAUGGGGUCAAGGCCCCAUUUCAUCAGCACAUAACGGCGAUGAUGAUGAGGAGACCAUCUCGCUGGAUUCCAAAAGGCAUAAGGACCCAGAGUCAUUGGUGCACUGGACUGCACAAACAUAAGGAUAAAAUCCCCCUCAGGUGCCC